AUGGAUCAUAGCCUCAAGAUCGUCUUCUGGAACGUGCGCGGGCUUAAUAGCCGUGCCAAGCGCACCGCCGUCCGAUCAGUCCUUGCUCCCAUCGACCCUUGCAUCGUGUGUCUCUCAGAAACUAAGAUCAGCUUGGUCUCAUUGUCGACUGUGUAUGAGCUCCUGGGUCCCUACUUCUCGGACUUCUACUUUUUGCCCGCCUCGGGCACGUGUGGGGGAAUUCUCUUGGCCUGGCGCAGCGACCACGUCACCCUUGCCAACCCCAUCGCGGGAUCUUUUCACAUCUCUGCCACUAUUUCCAUUGGUGUCGAUACCCCCCUUGGUGGAUCACGAGCGUUUAUGGACCGCAAGACGUCGACGACAAGAUUGCCUUCAUGGCCGAGCUCCAUGACUUGCGUGAUAUCAUUGCCGGACCCUGGCUCCUCGGUGGCGACUUCAAUAUGA
rnacentral:rRNA from 1 species